rnacentral:rRNA from 1 species
CGCCUGGGGAGUACGGUCGCAAGACUGAAACUCAGAGGAAUUGACGGGGACCCGCACAAGCAGUGGAGUAUGUGGUUUAAUUCGAAGCAACGCGAAGAACCUUACCAGGUCUUGACAUCCCCCUGACCGCAUCAGAGAUGGUGCUUUCCUUCGGGACAGGGGAGACAGGUGGUGCAUGGUUGUCGUCAGCUCGUGUCGUGAGAUGUUGGGUUAAGUCCCGCAACGAGCGCAACCCUUGAUGUUAGUUGCCAGCAGGUGAGGCUGGGCACUCUAAGAUGACUGCCGGUGACAAACCGGAGGAAGGUGGGGAUGACGUCAAAUCAUCAUGCCCCUUAUGACCUGGGCUACACACGUACUACAAUGGCCGGUACAACGGGAAGCGAAGCCGUGAGGCGGAGCCAAUCCCAGCAAAGCCGGUCUCAGUUCGGAUUGCAGGCUGCAACUCGCCUGCAUGAAGUCGGAAUUGCUAGUAAUCGCGGAUCAGCAUGCCGCGGUGAAUACGUUCCCGGGUCUUGUACACACCGCCCGUCACACCACGAGAGUUUACAACACCCGAAGCCGGUGGGGUAACCUGAAGCGUUUCGCAAGAAACGCACAUCGGAAGCGAUGCUCAGGGGCCAGCCGUCGAAGGUGGGGUAGAUGAUUGGGGUGAAGUCGUAACAAGGUAACCGUA